CCAUUCCCAGUUUUCUUAACACAAUGGCCAUUCUAAGGAAAUCGAUAUCAGAGUUUCUUGUGUUCCUUCUUGUCGCAGCGAUUUUUAUCUCAUCCAGCUACUCAUCCAAGGACGAUCUACGUGAGAUGAAGGUGGUAAUAGAACCAACAGGCAGCACCAAGUGUGAGGAGUUUGCGGGAUGUAACUAUAAUUCAUGCACAACGCACUGCUUCGGGGACAGCUCUGGCGGAGAAGGAAUUUGCCGACUUCGGCCGGAUAAUAAGUACGACUGUUGUUGUGCUCCCUUCCUUCCCCCAUCACCAUGAUGUGUGAGAUUCAAAAUAUUAGUUAAUAUAUUUAGAUAGGCUUGCAUGGUGCCCACCCUCUACCUGUUGUGGAUUUAGCAUGCCUAUAUAUUGGAAAUAAAGUUGUUCGAGGCAACACAUAUAUGUUUAAAAAAUCAAUAUAGUGAUAACUUAUCA